UACGUAGGUGGCAAGCGUUGUCCGGAUUUACUGGGCGUAAAGGGCGUGCAGGCGGUUUGUUAAGUUCAGGGUGAAAGCUCCCGGCUCAACUGGGAGAGGUCCUUGGAUACUGGCAGACUUGAGGAGGGUAGAGGAGAGUGGAAUUCCCGGUGUAGUGGUGAUAUGCGUAGAUAUCGGGAGGGACACCAGUGGCGAAGGCGGCUCUCUGGGCCCUACCUGACGCUGAGACGCGAAAGCGUGGGGAGCGAACCGG
rnacentral:rRNA from 1 species